rnacentral:rRNA from 1 species
UACGUAGGGUGCAAGCGUUGUCCGGAAUUAUUGGGCGUAAAGAGCUCGUAGGCGGUUUGUUGCGUCGGCUGUGAAAUCCCGAGGCUCAACCUCGGGUCUGCAGUCGAUACGAGCAAACUAGAGUGUUGCAGGGGAGACUGGAAUUCCUGGUGUAGCGGUGAAAUGCGUAGAUAUCUGGAGGAACACCGGUGGCGAAGGCGGCAUCCUGGACCGAGAUUGACGCUGAGGCGCGAAAGCCAGGGGAGCAAACGGG